AGCAAUAAUUUCCUUGUCACUUGAAUGUGACUUCCGAUUGUCAAAAUGACUCUGAGACAAUGGUUCGGUGCUGCCUGAUGGCACAAAGUAGAAUUGUGAAGCUGAUGCCAAAAGUAUGUCAACUUAAGUCAGGAGAAUGACAAAAGCUCCAAGGAAUCUCAAUCGUUGAGAAGGCAGGCCAGGCUACUAAACUGGCACACAGAGACCCAGCCAAGAACCUAG
rnacentral:lncRNA from 1 species